UACGAAGGGGGCAAGCGUUAUUCGGAUUCAUUGGGCGUAAAGGGCGCGUAGGUGGUCGGGUAAGUCCGGUGUGAAAACGCUACCGCUCAACGGAGCGAAUGCGCUGGAUACUGCUCGACUUGAGUACGGAAGAGGUAAGCGGAAUACCCGGUGUAGCGGUGGAAUGCUCAGAGAUCGGGUAGAACACCUGUGGCGAAGGCGGCUUACUGGUCCGGUACUGACACUGAGGCGCGAAAGCGUGGGGAGCAAACGGG
rnacentral:rRNA from 1 species